AAGUUUACAACAGGCGUUUUUUACCUGUUGCAGGAGACACAGUUAGCUCCAUAUCGGAGGAACAUGCAAGAUCUUCUUUGUGAUGCAAGUAUGCUUCCAUAUCCUGAACCAUAUCAGAGUACGUACCAGCGCCGCCGCCUAGGAGCUCUGGGUACCGAGUGGCGUCCUUCUUCAAUUAAAUUUUCUGUAGGCACAGAUGGUGGUUUGGGCCUAGGAUAUCAGGUUUUACCAGUGGCUGACUUGGACAUAAUAGCUGAACCACUGCCAGAGUUUGUGGAUACCCUUUUCUGGGAGCCAGAUAAUGUUAUUCUGAAUGAUGAGACCGAUUCAGAAUAUAAUAUGAAUGAAGAGCUUUCUGCUGAAG
rnacentral:misc_RNA from 1 species